CGAUGAUUGGUUGGCACUUCAUGUUUACGGUGAGGUGAACGUUGUAAGGGCAUUGAAGGAUCUGAGCAUUGUCACUGAGAAAUAACGAUGAUUUUUAAUAAGGUUUUGAGGGCAGGUUUUCAGGCUGGACGCAGGUUUCAGAGUACGGGCCCUCAAGCAAGUGCCAGAGCAGCUGCCUUGAGAGAAGCUCAUGGAGGCUUCAGCUUUGAACUAACUGACCAGCAGAAAGAGUUCC